rnacentral:rRNA from 1 species
ACUCCUACGGGAGGCAGCAGUGGGGAAUAUUGCACAAUGGGCGCAAGCCUGAUGCAGCCAUGCCGCGUGUAUGAAGAAGGCCUUCGGGUUGUAAAGUACUUUCAGCAGUGAGGAAGGUGGGUAUGUUAAUAGCAUAUUCUAUUUGACGUUAGCUGCAGAAGAAGCACCGGCUAACUCCGUGCCAGCAGCCGCGGUAAUACGGAGGGUGCGAGCGUUAAUCGGAAUUACUGGGCGUAAAGCGCAUGCAGGUGGUUGUUAAGUCAGAUGUGAAAGCCCGGGGCUCAACCUCGGAAUUGCAUUUGAAACUGGCAAACUAGAGUACUGUAGAGGGGGUAGAAUUUCAGGUGUAGCGGUGAAAUGCGUAGAGAUCUGAAGGAUACCGGUGGCGAAGGCGGCCCCUGGACAGAUACUGACACUCAGAUGCGAAAGCGUGGGAGCAAACAGGAUUAGAUACCCCGU